rnacentral:rRNA from 1 species
GCUAAGAGCCGUUCCUUCGGGAAGGGCUUGACCCUCAGUGGGGCGGCUAGCAACGGGGGGACGCAGGAGGAUAGGUGAUCCCAGGCGUUGGUUGUCCUGGGGUAAGUGUGUAGAGCGAGGACCAGGUAAAUCCGGGCCUCUUUAAGCUCGAGACAUGAUGCCGAGCCGUUUCAGGCGAAGUCACUGAUUCCAUGCUGCCAAGAAAAGCCUCUAGCGAGCUGGCAUGGUGCCCGUACCCCAAACCAACUCAGGUGGGCGGGUAGAGAAUACCAAGGCGAUUGGGUGAACUGUGGUUAAGGAACUCGGCAAACUACCUCUGUAACUUCGGGAUAAAGAGGACCUCAUUAGGGUGAUAGACCUUGCGUCUGGAGCUCGAGGGGGUGGCACAAACCAGGGGGAAGCGACUGUUUACUAAAAACACAGCAGCGUGCCAAGCCGCAAGGCGCUGUAUACGCUGUGACGCCUGCCCGGUGCCGGAAGGUUACGGGGAAAGGUUAGCCUUCGGGCGAAGCUUUGAACCUAAGCCCCGGUAAACGGCGGCCGUAACUAUAACGGUCCUAAGGUAGCGAAAUUCCUUGUCGGGUAAGUUCCGACCUGCACGAAUGGCGUAACGACUUCCCUACUGUCUCAACCACAGGCCCAGCGAAAUUGAAGUACGAGUAAAGAUGCUCGUUAGCUGUAGAAGGACGGAAAGACCCCGUGGACCUUUACUACAACUUGAUGUUGGGUUUUGGUAUGCGUUGUGUAGGAUAGGUGGGAGACUAGGAAGCCGGGGCGCCAGUUUCGGUGGAGUCAUCCUUGAAAUACCACCCUGCGUAUGCCGGGACUCUAACCUGGGCCCGUUAUCCGGGUCAGGGACAGCGUCAGGCGGGUAGUUUGACUGGGGCGGUCGCCUCCUAAAGAGUAACGGAGGCGCUCAAAGGUUCCCUCAGCCUGGUUGGCAAUCAGGCGUCGAGUGCAAUGGCACAAGGGAGCUUGACUGCGAGACCUACAAGUCAAGCAGGUGCGAAAGCAGGACAUAGUGAUCCGGCGGUUGCGUGUGGAAGCGCCGUCGCUCAACGGAUAAAAGGUACCCCGGGGAUAACAGGCUUAUCUUCCCCAAGAGUCCAUAUCGACGGGAAGGUUUGGCACCUCGAUGUCGGCUCAUCGCAUCCUCGGGCUGAAGCAGGUCCGAAGGGUUGGGCUGUUCGCCCAUUAAAGCGGUACGCGAGCUGGGUUUAGAACGUCGUGAGACAGUUCGGUCCCUAUCCUCUGCAGCCGGAGGCGAUUUGAGAGAAGCUGUUCCUAGUACGAGAGGACCGGAACGGACGUAGCUCUCGUGUGCCAGUUGUUCCGCCAGGAGCAUGGCGUUAGCGACCUACGGAAGAGAUAACCGCUGAAAGCAUCUAAGCGGGAAACUCGUCUCGAGAUGAGAUCGCCCACUGGGUUAACCGGGUAAGGCCCGUGGUAGGUCACCACGUUGAUAGGCCGGAAGUGUACGCGCAGUAAUGCGUUUAGCUGACCGGUACUAAUCGGCCGAGGGCUUGGAUU